rnacentral:rRNA from 1 species
AUCAUGCUCAGGAUGAACGCUGGCGGCGUGCCUAAUACAUGCAAGUCGAACGAACUUCCGUUAAUUGAUUAUGACGUACUUGUACUGAUUGAGAUUUUAACACGAAGUGAGUGGCGAACGGGUGAGUAACACGUGGGUAACCUGCCCAGAAGUAGGGGAUAACACCUGGAAACAGAUGCUAAUACCGUAUAACAGAGAAAACCGCAUGGUUUUCUUUUAAAAGAUGGCUCUGCUAUCACUUCUGGAUGGACCCGCGGCGUAUUAGCUAGUUGGUGAGGUAAAGGCUCACCAAGGCAGUGAUACGUAGCCGACCUGAGAGGGUAAUCGGCCACAUUGGGACUGAGACACGGCCCAGACUCCUACGGGAGGCAGCAGUAGGGAAUCUUCCACAAUGGACGCAAGUCUGAUGGAGCAACGCCGCGUGAGUGAAGAAGGGUUUCGGCUCGUAAAGCUCUGUUGUUAAAGAAGAACGUGGGUAAGAGUAACUGUUUACCCAGUGACGGUAUUUAACCAGAAAGCCACGGCUAACUACGUGCCAGCAGCCGCGGUAAUACGUAGGUGGCAAGCGUUAUCCGGAUUUAUUGGGCGUAAAGCGAGCGCAGGCGGUCUUUUAAGUCUAAUGUGAAAGCCUUCGGCUCAACCGAAGAAGUGCAUUGGAAACUGGGAGACUUGAGUGCAGAAGAGGACAGUGGAACUCCAUGUGUAGCGGUGAAAUGCGUAGAUAUAUGGAAGAACACCAGUGGCGAAGGCGGCUGUCUGGUCUGCAACUGACGCUGAGGCUCGAAAGCAUGGGUAGCGAACAGGAUUAGAUACCCUGGUAGUCCAUGCCGUAAACGAUGAUUACUAAGUGUUGGAGGGUUUCCGCCCUUCAGUGCUGCUAGCUAACGCAUUAAGUAAUC